rnacentral:rRNA from 1 species
GCUGCGAGUAACUCCAACCCUUAUGUGACAUACCUACUGUUGCUUCGGCGGACUCGCCCCGGCGUCCGGACGGCCUCGCGCCGCCCGCGGCCCGGACCCAGGCGGCCGCCGGAGACCCCCAAACUCUGUAUUAUCAGCAUUUUCUGAAUCCGCCGCAAGGCAAAACAAAUGAAUCAAAACUUUCAACAACGGAUCUCUUGGUUCUGGCAUCGAUGAAGAACGCAGCGAAAUGCGAUAAGUAAUGUGAAUUGCAGAAUUCAGUGAAUCAUCGAAUCUUUGAACGCACAUUGCGCCCGCCAGCAUUCUGGCGGGCAUGCCUGUUCGAGCGUCAUUUCAACCCUCGACUUCCCUUUGGGGAAAUCGGCGUUGGGGAACGGCAGCAUACCGCCGGCCCCGAAAUGAAGUGGCGGCCCGUCCGCGGCGACCUCUGCGUAGUAAUCCAACUCGCACCGGAACCCCGACGUGGCCACGCCGUAAAACACCCAACUUCUGAACGUUGACCUCGGAUCAGGUAGGAAUACCCGCUGAACUUAAGCAUAUCAAAAGCCGGAGGAAAGGAAAACAUCCGCCCC